rnacentral:rRNA from 1 species
GUGCCAGCCGCCGCGGUAAUACGUAGGGUCCAAGCGUUAUCCGGAAUCACUGGGCGUAAAGCGUGCGUAGGUGGGAAUUUAAGUGUGAUGUUAAAUCGUGUGGCUCAACCAUAUCGAUGCAUCGCAUACUGGGUUCCUGGAGGACAGCAGAGGCAAGUGGAAUUAGCAGUGUAGCAGUGAAAUGCGUAGAUAUUGCUAGGAACACCAAUGGCGAAGGCAGCUUGCUGGGCUACUCCUGACACUGAGGUACGAAAGCGUGGGGAGCGAACAGGAUUAGAUACCCUGGUAGUCC